CCUCGAGUCUCCGAACCAGAUUCUCGACCCGGAAGACGUGAAGAAGACCCGACUGGAGAUCUUCCUUCCGGCCACCUUUGAUCGACGGACCACUGGCGUUUGGACCAUCUCGACGUCGCGACCAAGCCCAUGGCUUGGGUUUCCACCGACGAGCUCCAACGAAGCCAAUUUGAAGGCGAGAAGUUUCUGCGGUUUUCUUGAGUUUUACGGCGACUAUGGUCGCCGAUGAUGACAUGCGAGAAUGAUCAAGAGGGUGAGAAUCUCGGAGUUAAGCUAUCUCUGUUUAUGUAAAUAGAGAACAGAAUAGCUCUUGUUGGCGUUAAUCAGAAUGGAUGAGAUACGCCCAACUUCUCAAAUUUGAAAACUGUAGGUAAAUGGUUUUGUCCUUGAUUAUUUGGGUUUUGAAUAUGUAUGGAAGUAAAUUAUGACGUUGGCCUAUGUUUCAUUUUCAAGAAAGCUUGAGGUUAGAAAAGCCAAGGUCGUGCACAUGAGGAAAAUCUCCCUCUGAUAACCAGACAAGGUGAGUAAGUAUUAUAUAUGUUGUGUUAAAUAACAACAUGAGGAAAGAAAAGUGAGUUGCAAAAGAGUAUUCACUUGAAUUAUUGACCAAGAUGUUCAUUCAAUAUUGUUGCGAAAGGAUUAGUUUCGGGUGCCCAGAGUAAUAGAAAAGGAUUACACCCAAUAAGGAAAGGAAUCCAUUCUUGAGAGAAAAAUAAUUGAAUUAACUUGGUAAUAUUUGCCGAGUGUUAUAGAAUGGAACUUAUAUUAACACUUUGAGUACUAUCGCUGUCAGAAUAGGACUCCAGUUACCCAAAAAUGAGAUGUGGUGCUGUUGGCUUAGGAAAGCAAAUGGAGUCAAAGCUGCAAUAUUAUAGUUUGUGGAUGCGGAUACUGUUUGCGGAGACGGGACCGCCGGACGAACGCUGAGCGUGGCCUAGUCACUUGAUUCCUUAAAUCGUGUCAUUGUCGGAGUUUGUUCCAUAUGACAGGUUCUCAAUUCUCCUUAGUUUUGCAUAACUCAUUUGACGAGUUCUGAAUUGUGCGUAAAUUGUAUCUCUUUUGAAAUCUUGGACUUUCGACUAUGAACCGGACCAAUAUUCGUGUAUUGCUCUUUCCGCUUUUGAAUGACUGGUGCUUGUUUCAAUAGAACUUUAACAUUUCAAAAAGGGUUUUCACCUCAUUUAAAGUAAAAGCUUCCGCUACCCAAAAUUUGGUAAUUAAAUUACCAAAGUAUCCAAAUUUUAUUUCUUUUGCCUUGCGGCUUUUAGGAUCUAAGUUAAGAAUAUCUUAGUUUGGGUUCUAAGAGUUCGCGACACUGUAACGACUUCAAUUUGGUGAGGUGCAAAUCGGGGCGUUACAGAUCGGUACUAGGAACGUACUAGUGCCCGAGAAGAGAGUGAGGUGAGCAGGACAGAUUCAUCAUCGUUCAAGUCCUGCUCAGACAAUGGGUCCGAUGACAAUCUCGAGGUGACAGUAGCUAUACCACAAGGUUUACCUAGGCCCAGAUAUACCUUGGUGGAUGGCACGGUUUGUGAUGAACCACUGAGGAGCAUGACCGUGAGGGAAUUAACUACGCGCUAAGGCUGAAGUGGGGCAUUCCUGAUGAAGUGGAACUAAGGCCCCUGUACCCGGGUGAGCUUGCUGCCAAUUCCCCUGCGAGGUGGGUGGUUCUGCACGAGAAUCAGCUUCUCUAGGGCCUCUGCCUUCUCUUGCCAGAGUGUGUGCAGUAUUUGCUGAGGAUGCUCAACAUAUCUCCAGGGCAAAUGACGCCUGAUGCAUGGCAACAGAUGCUGAGCAUGAUCACAAUGUGGGACUUGUGCGACAUGGGGUGGCCUUCAAUCAAUGAGUUUAGGGUCGUUUACCGCUCGUCCUACUCAAAGAAGUUUCUAGGCAAGGGUACUGUGACAUUGACAGCCCUGGACUACAAGCCAAUAGUCACCGACUUGCCUACAUCGCAGAGUAAGAGGUGGUGCAACAAAGUCUUCCUUGCCGAUGGAAGAUGGCAAAUUAGGAAUAAGAGGUGGAACGUCACCGGGGCUUACCAAGCCAUAGGGGACUAAACAUAUACACUGUCGAAGGUUGAGAGAAAGCGUAUAGCCGGGGUGUUUGCUACUUGGGAAAAGGAUGAGAGGAGGAGAGACCAAAUUGAGAUAAUCGGAGAUGAUGUU